AUUGAACGCUGGCGGCAUGCUUUACACAUGCAAGUCGAACGGCAGCGCGGGCUUCGGCCUGGCGGCGAGUGGCGAACGGGUGAGUAAUGCAUCGGAACGUGCCCAGUAGUGGGGGAUAGCCCGGCGAAAGCCGGAUUAAUACCGCAUACGACCUGAGGGUGAAAGCGGGGGACCGAAAGGCCUCGCGCUAUUGGAGCGGCCGAUGUCGGAUUAGCUAGUUGGUGGGGUAAAGGCUUACCAAGGCGACGAUCCGUAGCUGGUCUGAGAGGACGACCAGCCACACUGGGACUGAGACACGGCCCAGACUCCUACGGGAGGCAGCAGUGGGGAAUUUUGGACAAUGGGGGCAACCCUGAUCCAGCCAUGCCGCGUGCGGGAAGAAGGCCUUCGGGUUGUAAACCGCUUUUGUGCGGGAAGAAAUCCUCUGGGCUAAUACCCCGGGGGGAUGACGGUACCGGAAGAAUAAGCACCGGCUAACUACGU
rnacentral:rRNA from 1 species